rnacentral:rRNA from 1 species
UACGUAGGGGGCAAGCGUUGUCCGGAAUCAUUGGGCGUAAAGAGCUCGUAGGCGGCCUGUUGCGUCCGCUGUGAAAGCCCGGGGCUUAACCCCGGGUCGGCAGUGGAUACGGGCAGGCUAGAGGUAGGUAGGGGAGAAUGGAAUUCCCGGUGUAGCGGUGAAAUGCGCAGAUAUCGGGAGGAACACCGGUGGCGAAGGCGGUUCUCUGGGCCUUACCUGACGCUGAGGAGCGAAAGCGUGGGGAGCGAACAGG